rnacentral:snRNA from 1 species
AUCCCUACUCAGCCUUUGGCUAAGAUCAAGUGUAGUAUCUUUUAUUAUCAUUUUAAUAGCUGAUAUGUCCUCUAUCAAAGGAUAAUAUAUUCAUAAUAGUCUUUAAACGAUAUAAAUCAAGCACUGUUGAAAUUUAUAUGGAGUAAUAUCACCCUCUCCCCCAAACACAUA